rnacentral:rRNA from 1 species
CAUUACUCCGCGGCAUCAGGCAGGCAGGCUAGCCGUGCUCCCUCCCAUCUCUUCUCUUCUCUCCUCUCCCCCGAAGAGUCAAAGACACAGGGAGAGAGAGGACUCCUCCGCAUCUGCAUCCGCGCACACGAAUUCGAGAGGGAGAGGAGCGAUAAUGGGGAGGGCUCCGUGCUGCGAGAAGAUGGGCCUCAAGAGGGGCCCCUGGACGCCGGAGGAGGACAAGAUCCUGGUCGCCCACAUCCACAGCCACGGCCACAGCAACUGGCGCGCGCUGCCUAAGCAAGCCGGCCUGCUGCGGUGCGGCAAGAGCUGCCGGCUCCGGUGGAUCAACUACCUGCGGCCGGACAUCAAGCGCGGCAACUUCACCGACGAGGAGGAGCAGUCAAUCAUCCAGCUGCACCAGCUGCUCGGCAACAGAUGGUCCGCGAUUGCCGCCCGGCUGCCGGGGAGGACGGACAACGAGAUCAAGAACGUGUGGCACACCCACCUCAAGAAGCGGCUCGACCCCAGCGCGCAGGAGCAGCACCAGGAGGCCAAGAAGCGCAAGAAGCCGGCGGCGGCGGCGCGGAAGCGCGAGGGCAAGGUCAAGAUGAGGAAGCUCGACGCGCUGACCGCCAAGGCGGCGCCCGUGCUGUCCUCGCCCGAGCGCUCCGUCUCGUCCACGCUCACCGAGUCGACGUCCACGGCCUCGGCGGCGGCGGAGCAGCACGGCAACUCGGGCAGCUCCGCCUCCGCCUCGGCGUCCGUCAAGGAGGAGUGCUUCACCUCGUCCGAGGAGUCGGAGGAGUUCCAGAUCGACGAGAGCUUCUGGUCGGAGACGCUGUCCAUGCCGCUGGACGACAUCAACGACGUCUGCAUGGAGCCCCACGACGCGUUCGGCAAGCCGGCGGGCGCCGACGGCGGCGACAUGGACUACUGGCUCAAGGUGUUCAUGGAGGGCGGCGGCGACGACGACGACAACAACGACGGCGCGCUAGACUUACCGCAGGUUUAGGGAGGGGAGAGAGCUCUAGUUUCGUCGCUGCUCCUGAAUUGAUCGUUCUUUUUUCUCUCUCUCUACCCGCGCCACCUUGCUGCAUCGGAGGGAUUGCUAACAGAGAAAUUAGUAGCCAGCAAGAACGCGGAUCAUGAACGCGAAUCAUGCGCCCGGUCGGUAGAUUUCUUUGAUCCGUCUUGUUUGUUCACCUUGCUGUAUAGAAAGAUGAGAGAUCAGUGAUCGGAACCGAUGCAUUCUGAGUUAGAGAGUAUCUGUUCAUCUGCACGGGGUGCAAAUAUCAGUUUCUGUACCACCAUGGAGAUUACUAUCUGAAAUGGAGUCUGCUUUUCUCAUUUGGCUGAUCAAAACUGAUCAC